CAUCCUGCCGGCUCUGAUUGAGGAUGUUCAGCAGCAGCUCGUUGACUCGGCGGUACUGGAACUCCAGCUCCUCGGGAAUGCUGAAGUUACACAGUGUCAGGCAGCAGUUCCGCUGUACCUGGGUCGAAGGGAAGCAAAUGCUGCACCAGUGCCAAGGACAAGAAGUUGGCCAAGGAAUUAACCCAAGACAGAACGGAGCCUCAAAAAGCAGCUCUGCUGAUCUCACUCGCUCCUUGCUCGGCGAUGGAGGAACUGCAGUGCUGGAGCGCUCCGGAGGAACACCCACCCUAAGCCUCAUCUCCCUGGGCCAAAUCUUGCUCUAGGUUACGUCAGGAGAGAAGCCAAGGAUGAAAUGUGCCGCUGAGGGCAGAGAAUUGCCUCACUAGCGGUGAGGUGCCAACUGAGGGAACGCAGGUGGGAGGAAGCAGUCCUGUGCCCUGCAUGGUGUCUGCUUUGGAGACGAAUCUGCUUCACCUCCAGAACGAGUCCCUCUCACAUAUUUUGCCUGAAGCUUGCUUGAGAGAAUCUUUCCAGAAAGGCAAGAUGAACAGGAAGAUCUGAGCCAGCAGGGAAACGCGUUCUGCUGUCCCUACCAGUUCACCCGUGCCACCAGACGGGAGGUCCCUGCAGCCGGUGUUCUCGCCCUGCUUACUACUGAUGGCCAGAGAACUUGGAAACAAACUCCCAUUGACAACCUUUUGUCACGUGCAGCUGGACAUGGCCAGUGCUUGGGACUUGUCCAAGCAGCUUAGAACUCCAAAGGGCAAGGGCUGCCUUCCUGUUGCUCUGACAAUCCUCUGUGCCCCUCUGCUGUGCCCAGCACAAUGCAGCCGGCUGAUCCUAGCCCUGGAGAAAUCAGCUGCGCGUUAACUUCUGAGCUUCCCAAAAUCUACCAAGAAAAUCCCGUGCAGGAAGUUAGCGCGGAGGAAAGUGCCCCAGUAAAAUAACCCCGAAGAAAAGCCUUCAUCCUCGUGAUUUACGGUGCGUAUUUGAGUAGCACCCGAGCUGCUUCCACGCCUGUGGUCCUUUGGUACAGGACACGAGACAAACGAGUCCUGGCCUC